rnacentral:rRNA from 1 species
GACGAACGCUGGCGGCGUGCUUAACACAUGCAAGUCGAACGGAAAGGCCCUGCUUGCAGGGUACUCGAGUGGCGAACGGGUGAGUAACACGUGGGUGAUCUGCCCUGCACUUCGGGGUAAGCCUGGGAAACUGGGUCUAAUACCGGAUAGGAGCCAUUUUUAGUGUGAUGGUUGGAAAGUUUUUUCGGUGUAGGAUGAGCUCGCGGCCUAUCAGCUUGUUGGUGGGGUAAUGGCCUACCAAGGCGGCGACGGGUAGCCGGCCUGAGAGGGUGGACGGCCACAUUGGGACUGAGAUACGGCCCAGACUCCUACGGGAGGCAGCAGUGGGGAAUAUUGCACAAUGGGCGCAAGCCCGAUGCAGCGACGCCGCGUGGGGGAUGACGGCCUUCGGGUUGUAAACUCCUUUCGCUAGGGACGAAGCUUUUUGUGACGGUACCUAGAUAAGAAGCACCGGCUAACUACGU